rnacentral:misc_RNA from 1 species
CUCGGGCUCCAGUGCAGG